rnacentral:rRNA from 1 species
AUGGCACCUGUGGUGAGUGCUGCACUUGGCGUGUUGGGUCCCCUGCUGGUCAAGCUCGCCGACCUGGUCGCCGGCAAGUUCGGCCGCGUGCGAGGUGUCCGCCGUGAGAUCAUGUCCCUCCAGUCCGAGUUGACCAGCAUGCAUGCCGCGCUCCAAGAAUACACGAUGCUAGACGACCCAGGCGUCCAGGUUAAGGCGUGGAUAUCGCUGCUCAGGGAGCUGGCCUAUGAUACCGAGGAUUGCAUUGACAAGUUCAUCCGCCGUGUCAGCAAUCGUGGGCGUCGCGGCGGCUUCAAGAAGCUCUUCCAUGACACCACUCGCUUCCUUAAGAUGCUAGAUUCUCGCUGUGGGAUCGCCAAGCAGAUCCACAAGCUGAAGGCUCGCAUCAAGCAUGUGAAAGAGCUCAAGGAUAGUUACAAGUUGAGUGAGACUUCUUGUAGCAAGACUGGGCAUGAGUCCGUGGAUCCUCGGUUGUGUGCUCUCUUUGCUGAGGAAGCACACCUUGUGGGUGUGGAGGGUCCAAGAGAUGAUCUUGUCAAGUGGAUGUUGAAGGAAGAAAAUAGCUCGACCAGGCAACCUAGAGUAUUGUCUAUCGUUGGAUUUGGUGGAUUGGGAAAGACAACAUUAGCAAAUGAGGUCUAUCGCAAGGUUCAAAGGCAUUUCGAUUGUUGGGCUUUUGUUUCAGUCUCGCAGAAGCCAAUUAUAAGAAAAAUAAUCAAGGAUGUAAUCUACAAAGUGCCUUUUCCUGAUGGAUUCACAAAAGAUAUUGAAAUUUGGGACGAAACGGCAGCCAUUUCCAAGCUAAGAGAAUUGCUACAAGAUAAAAGGUAUAUCGUCAUAAUUGAUGAUAUAUGGUGCACACAAGCAUGGAACACUAUCAAGUGUGCUUUCCCGGAGAAUAACCGUUCUAGCAGAAUUAUAACCACUACACGCAUUAUGGAUGUGGCAAGGUCAUGUUGUCCUUGUGGUGAUGACCAUGUGUAUGAAAUGGCAGCCCUAAGUGAUCUUCACUCCAAAAGUUUGUUUCUCAAAAGAAUUUUUGGCUCUGAGGACAACUGCCCUGAUAUGCUGAAAGAGGUUUCCAAUAAAAUCCUAAAGAAAUGUGGAGGCCUACCAUUGGCAAUUAUUAGUAUAUCCAGUUUGUUAGCAAAUAGUCCAGCUGUCAAGGAGGAGUGGGAGAAGAUUAAAAGAUCAAUUGGUUCUGCACUGGAAAAAGAUCGAAGUCUAGAGGGAAUGAGUAACAUACUAUCCCUUAGCUACAAUUAUCUUCCACCUGAUCUCAAGACUUGUUUACUGUAUUUAAGUGUAUUCCCUGAGGAUCGUGUGAUUGAUCGAAAGAGGUUAGUGAGGCGGUGGAUAGCGGAAGGAUUUAUCUCUGAAGAGCGUGGACAAAGCCGGCAAGAAGUCGCUGAGAGAUAUUUCUAUGAGCUUAUCAACAAAAGCAUGGUCCAGCCAGAGGACAUUUCCUAUGAUGGCAAGGCUCGUGCUUGCCGAGUCCACGACAUGAUGCUCGAAAUUAUUAUUUCAAAAUCAAACGAAAAUAAUUUCGUCAUUGUUGUAGGUGGCGGCGAAACGAGUUUUGCAAAUCAUCAGGGUUUUAUUCGGCGCCUAUCAGUCCAGCACCUUGAUCAUGAGCUUGCACAUUUACUCGCACAAGAAGAUCUUAGCCAUGUUCGAUCGCUAACAGUAACAUCAUCAACUUGCAUCAAACACUUGCCUAGUCUUGCUAAAUUUGAAGUUCCACGUGUACUAGAUUUUCAAGGUUGUCGGGGUUUGGAAGAAUAUGAUAUGAAUGGUAUUGGCAAAUUAUUCCAACUAAAGUACCUCAACUUCAGAGGCACGAGUAUAUCAAAGCUGCCAUCAGAGAUCAUGAUGCUACAUGACCUAGAGACCCUAGAUUUUGGAUAUACACAAGUGGGGGAGUUUCCAACUGGAUUCGUUCAGCUGACCAAACUACAACACCUAAUUGCUGGAGGUUGGACAACUAUGCGAAACAAGGUAGGGAAUAUGAGGAACUUACGGGAGAUAUCAGGCUUUAGUAUUACCCGGAGUCCAGCAGAUGCGGUGGAGGAUCUUGGAAACCUUCCAAGUUUGGUGGAAAUUGCUGUACAUCUCGAUGAUGGAGGAUCUGACGAGUUCAGGAGGCAUGCAGAAAUGUUACAUUCCUCACUGUGCAAGCUUGGUAGCUGCAAGCUCAGGUCUUUAUGGAUAAGUAGGUAUUGUGGUUCCCUCGAGUUCUUAGAAUCUUGGAACCCUCUGCCAUAUUCCCUUCAAGAAUUUUAUAUGUUCAGUGACUACUAUUUCACGGAAGUUCCGAAGUGGAUUGCUCCAGCACUCACCAGCCUUUCUUACCUAGAUAUCAAUUUGGCUGAAUUAACAGAGGAGGGCCUGCACACUCUUGGGGAGCUCCCGGCCUUACUUUGCCUAAAACUAUGCUGGAAAACAAAUCCAGAAGAAAGGCUUACAGUCCAGGGCACUGGAUUCCCAAGUCUAAUAAAGUUGGUGCUAUCUGAUCGGGCAUACAUUACAUUCGUGAAAGGGGCUAUGCCAAAGCUUCAGAACCUUAAGCUAUCAUUUGCUGUGUCAGUAGCAAAAGGUUAUGGCUUCUAUUUAGGCAUUGAGCAUCUCACAUGUCUCAAAAAAGUAAGGGUACUGUUUGUAACCAAAGGUUCAGAAAGCAAGGUUGCAGCUGCUGCAAUCUCUAAGGAAGCAGGUGCCCAUACCAACCGUCCUAUAGUUACCAUCAAUGGAAGACCAUAUGAAGAGGCUGCUAACAACGAGGAGAAGAACAAGGUGAAUGGCGACACUCCGAUUCAAGGGAAUUAA